CCCACGGGACUCAGCAGUGAUAAAA
rnacentral:piRNA from 1 species